CCAAUUGAGGGAACCUCUCAGAUGGGAGGUGACUCAUCUGGACGGCCUGGCCUGUUCAAGUGCAGCUUCCCAGGGGACACUCACUCCCCAGGGAGGAGAGCGGCUUCUCAGAUGCAGCCCAGAGCCAGCCCUCCAGGGCAGUGGAGCCCUGGUCCACGGCAGAGAGGUGCCUAAGGCCAGCUCGGUGCAGAAGAUGCAUGCACAUCAUCUAAAGCUCCUGAGCCCCACACAGUCCCACCCUGACGCCCCCCAAAAUAAAUAGCCCUGGAAUCUGAUGACCACCCGCAGCUCUGUGAUGGCUUUGGGCUCUGAGAAUCCAAACUCCACCGAAUUUAUGCCGGAACCGGGCGAGCUCAAGAAGAUAACCAACCUUUCCACCUGUGCUAACUCUUCCUGAAUCACGGAUAAAGCCACUUCCAGACAAGCCUGAGCUGGAGAAGUCAGAUGUCCGUCUCCGAGGUGCCCAGUCAGACUCACAGCGCAGAUGGCUUUGAAUCCAGACAGAGCUGUGGGCUGGUGUCACCGGCGCAGGGACUGAGGUGUCUUUUGAGAAAGGACUUAGCCUAAGAGGAAGGCAGGAGUCGGCCUCCGGAGGAGUGGGGCUGUGCGGUGCCAGUCACCAGCUCGGCGUCUUCUGGCCUGGUGGGAGGUCACGAGGAAGGCCACCAGCACAGCAGACUUGGUGAGACUCAGGAAGCAUGUGCCACACUGCGCCAGAACUGCCACGUGGCGGGGACAGAGACGCAGAAGGCAGGGGCCAUGCUCCAUGCUCAGUAUGGGCUGUGUCCCCACCCAGCCCCUGGUGUGUCACCCUCUCAGGCUUCGGAGGCACGGACGGCAGCUGCUGCCGUGUCACCUCAGACCCAUGGGACGUGGGGAAGGUACCCGCUCCCAAGGCCAGCGGGAGGCUUUCUGGGACCAGGCCAAGGGGUCCCCGCUCGGGGCGAGUGCAAAGCCACAGGAUGAUUGCAGGUGCUCACACGUGGGGCCAUCUUUACCCCUGGCUGUGUCUCCAGUCCUUGAGACUGCUAAGCUGGCAGCCACCAAAGAGUCUCGAAGUGGUGCAGAAAGACAGACAGAGGUUGUUUUCAGUCUCUGGCAGAAGAGAAUCCACUAGGAGCUGGGACCAGGUGGUUCCAAGGUGGGGACGGGACCCCCUGUGAGGCUGGGCCAGGUGGAAGGGGGGUCCUGGAGGAGGGGGCGGCUCUCCCUGCAGCCACACACACGCUCGGGGUGGUGUUUACACUCCCAGCGGCUCUUUCUGUCCUCAGAGCACCAUGCACACAGGGUGUCUGUUUGCGUUGAGUAGAGAAACUGUAUUUUUCCAUAUCCACAAUAAGCAAGAUAUGGAAGCGACCCAGAUGUCCAUCAGCAGAUGAAUGGAUAAAGAAAACGGGUGCUGUGUACAAUGGGGCAUUGUCCCCUUAGAGGAGGAAAGGGCCCGCCAGCAGCAGCAACACAGAAACUCUGCAGGACGCUGUGCCAGGUGCAGGGGAGGUUACUGUGUGAGGCCACUUACACAGGCAGCAGAGAUAGGGACAGUGGUUGCCAGGAGUGGGGCAGAGGAGAAAAUGUGGAAAUUUGCUCAGAGGGUAUAAAGAUUCUGUUCUGCAAGACGAAUGGGUCCCGGGCUCUGCCACAGGGUGCGGGCUUGCUGGUGACAGCAGGGGCUGUGCUUGUGCCCUUUCCAGCGGAUUAAAAUCUGCUGUGUUCAGGGCUGGGGAUUUAGCUCAGCGGCAUAAGCGCCUGCCUUGCAAGCAGGCAGUCGUGAGUUCGAUCCCUGGUACCAAUAAAAUCUGCUGUGUUCUUACACGAAACACACAUGGGUGCACACACAGACAUGGGUGCACACACACGUGCACACACGUGUGCAGGAAGAUCAUUGGAGGGGAUCCGUAAGUUCUGCCCUUUGGUUGUGGAAAUGGUGUCACAGGUGUGUGACCAAACUCAGCACGGAAAAUGUGUGUGACUCUUUGUGCAUUAGCUGCACCUCAAAAAAAGCUUUAAAUUCAUCAAAACAGAAACCAAAAUGAAGUGGGAUUUUCCUUCAGUCCAAAAGGAGGAUCUAGGACUCAGGGUCCCGAGCCCUCCUGGGGUCACCUGCUCCCACCCCUCGUGUGCCCCGGGAGCCACUAAGUCAGUCUCAAGGGGCAUGUGAUGGCACAGAGUCCCAGCGUCAUCCUGCCAUGCAGCCAUCCUUGGUCUGUCCUGGGUCCCUUGUCUUGUCUUGUCUUUCCUUUCUUGGGUGAGGCAGGAGGGAGGAGUCUUGCAAAAGCACACUCGAAACACUUCGAGGAAAAGGGGUUUAACCCCUGGGGAAGUGUGCCUGGGGAACAAGCUGUCUCCAGCCCGGCAUCCCCACCACCAGCCUCUGCCUCCCAGCUCGGCCCAGCUCUGCUUACACUCCAGGAGGCCAUGGGCACAGCCAGCAGGGACAGUGGGCCAGGGAAAGGCCUAGAUGGCAGGGAAGCAGGCCUGGGAGCAGCGUGCUAGAGACGCAGCCACUUGUCUGGUCUCCUCUCCCACCUUCUUCUCUCGGUAGGGCUGCUGCCAGGCUGCUGGGAGAGACAAGCUCUGUGACUUGUUAGCGGGACCCCUGGGGGGCGAGGAUGGGGACACUGGAUGGCUCUUCCUGUGGGAAUCCUGCUGCUCUGGAGAGGCCCCACUGUAGUGCAGGCAGGACACAGGGGGCAGGACACACACAUCCCCACCCUCCUCUAGUUACAGGAAGGCCCAGGACUUGCCUGGCUCAGAACCACCGCCCUGAAUCUGUUUUUUUUUUUUUCUGAAACAGGAUCUCAAUAUGUCAUGCAGGCUGUCCUUGAACUCACUGUGUAGCACUGGCUUCAAAUUUGUGCGGUCCUCUUGCCUCAGCCUCCUGGGUGCUGGGAUUAUAGGUGUGUGAGUCUGCAUUGGCCUGGGGAUCGUGUCAAGGUGCCCAUCUCUGGACCCCCACCACCAGUUCCUACCGAUCUAGUUCUGUGUAGCAUGGGGUCCCCAGAAACGUGAGCUCAUAUCUGGACUCUGUGUGUGCUGUGUGAUCUUGGGACACAGACCUGAGCCCUCUGUGCCUUAAUCCCAUCGCCCAUGAUACGGGGACAGCCUCGCCCUCCUGGGGCCAAGCAGGUAAAGCUCUGGGUUCAAGGCCCGAGCCAGGGUGAGUGCUGGUUAAUUGUGGCUAUUAUUGUCAUUAUUAUCUCAGCAGCAGGCAUGGAUGCCACCCAGGCUCCUGACGCUGGGUGCAGUGUUCUUUCCAACACGUCACUGUGUUGUCCAUGCAGCCUCCCAGCUCUGCCAGGCCAGCCCAGCUGCUCUGGGGUCCUUGAGCCAGAGAGAUCUGACAUGUGCGAACAAGGGCAGGCGUGACCCUGGGGUACAGAGAGCCGGGGAGCAUAGCUCAGGUCCCCUGGCAGCCAUGCGGCUCCUCCUCUUAGCUUUUCAUUAUGGAAACAGUGGGAACCGAAAAUAGAAGCUCCGCAGACAAGCCUAAUCCUCCGGGCUUUGCCCAACAACUGCCGGGGAGUUCAGCACACCCGCCGCCAGGGGGCGCCGUCGUCCCGCGCAGAUAGUCUCAGGAUUCCGGCACCUGCUGCCCCAGGGCACCCUUCGGAGACCCCACUGACAAACAGCUCCGGGUCUGGGUCCUGGAGCUUCGCAACCCAGUUCACUGUUGCCCUUGGGAACCCUUAAAAGCAGGACGGGAGCUGGGGAUGGUGGUGCAUACCUGUAAUCUUCAGCACUCUGGAGGCUGAGGCAGGAAGAGCUGAGAGAGAGCCCAGCCUGGCUCACUGAGUGACUUAGUGAGUCCCUUGUCUCCAAAUAAAAAUAAAAAUGAGGGCUGGAGAUAUGGCUCUGUGUGAAGGCCCUAGGUUCACCACCAGGGGGCAGGGUGUGUGUGUGUGUGUGUGUGUGUGUGUGUGUGUGUGUGUGUGUGUGUGUGUGUGUGUGUGUGUCAGGGGGCAGGGUGUGUGUGUGUGUGUGUGUGUGUGUGUGAUUCCUGCCUGUGUUUUCCAGCCCAGCCCCAGGACCCAGCUCCCAGCUACGCGCGCGGGAUACACCGCGGGCACAAGACAUAUGCAUCUGGCUGUUUAAUUAACAGACUUGUGAAAUCAGCUGUAAUUCAUAAAUUGCAGAAAGUACCAGGGAAUAAAAUGUUAAUGAAUUGGCUUUUACAGACCUAAUUAGCUUUCAUCAGCGGUUCGUGAACCAGGCAGGGUCCAGAGCACGCGGCUCGAGGACGGUGGUUUUAAAGGCAUCGCGCCGCCUCCUGGGGUCUAUUGGGCCUUGAUUGCUCCGCAGGGCAGAGCUCUUAGGGUAACUGCUCGG